CCCAGGCGCGAAAACUUUGCAAUAGGCGAAAGCCUGACAGGGCUAUCCCGAGUGCCAUCCGCUGAGGAAGGCUUUUACCCAGUCUAGAACGCUGGGGGAAUAAGGAGAGGGCAAGUCUGGUGUCAGCCGCCGCGGUAAUACCAGCUCUCCGAGUGGUGUGGAUGUUUAUUGGGCCUAAAGCAUCCGUAGCUGGCUAAGUUAGUCCCUUGUUAAAUCCACCGAAUUAAUCGUUGGAUCGCGGGGGAUACUGCUUGGCUAGGGGACGAGAGAGGCAGACGGUAUUUUCGGGGUAGGGGUGAAAUCCUAUAAUCCCGGGAAGACCACCAGUGGCGAAGGCUGUCUGCUAGAACGCGCCCGACGGUGAGGGAUGAAAGCUGGGGGAGCGAACCGGAUUAGAUACCCGGGUAGUCCCAGCUGUAAACGAUGCAGACUAGGUGUUUGAACGGCCACGUGCCGUUCUAGUGCCGCAGGGAAGCUGUUAAGUCUGCCGCCUGGGGAGUACGAUCGCAAGAUUGAAACUUAAAGGAAUUGGCGGGGGAGCAC
rnacentral:rRNA from 1 species